UCCCACCCAUGCCUAGACUUCCUCUCCCCUCCUCAGAGAGCUCUUCGGCAGCCUUCUGAAGCAGCCAUGCUUCCCGCACGCCCACCCCUGACAGGGAGCUGCAGCUGACUGAUGUGGGAAUCUGAGUGGCGCUGCUAGAAGCGGGAGGCCAACAUGGCUCUGAGGACAGUGUCCCGAUCAAAGCCAAGGAUGACUUCAUUGCCCAGGUCUGCACUUCACCUGUCCACUGCUUCGCUGACUUUUCUGAAGAUGUGGCCACUGACUGCAUCGUAAGCUUCAGUGAUAAGCAACCUUCACUAGAGGUUCCAAGCAAUGAAGUCAUCAGAACUUUGCUGUGGUCAAGGUGUCUCUUCACAGCAUGAAACCCUAAGACAGGAUGCAGAAUCAUCCCUGAUUCUAGAGGGACAGUAUAUGAAUUCCGGAGAGUUUUAAGGCUGUUCCAGUUUCUUUUUUGUGCCUGCAUUAAAACACCAUGACCAAGAGCAACUGAGGCUUGCCAAAUUGUCAACUCAACACACGUUAUCGUCAUUUUGGAAGAAGGAGCCUCACUUAAGAAAAUACUCCCGAACAAUUGGCCUGCGGACAAACCUGUGGUGAUUGGUGCUUGAUGUGGGAGGGCCCAGCUUACUUUGGGCAGUGCCCUCCUUGGGCUCUUGGUCCUCUGUGCUAAAGGAAUGCAGGCUGAGCAAGCCGGAAGCCGGUGUCUUCAGUAAUAGGGCCUUAUCAACCAGUUCUGAUAGGUGACCAAAAACAGUGAAAACCACCUGUUUCCCUGGCUCCCCAGUGGGGCAGAACUUCAGUUCUGUUCCUAGAACCUUGACUCAUACAAUUAGCAUCUAUUAAUUAUGCAUAAUAGUGAGUUUUAUUAGCUUUUGACAUUUAAAUACAAAGACAUGAUAUAUUCUGCUGAUAUUCAUUUACAUUCCGAUUAUUCUUUGUUGUACAUCUUCUCCUGAUCCCACCCUCCCCCUCCUCCGCCUUCACUAACCCCAUUCUUCUACUUACAUGUCAUUUAUUUAUUUAUUUGCUUUUGUGAACCAAAGACUUUCUUUAGGGUUGUUACAGGUACAUGAGUGAGACUUUGUUCACAGGAGUGUAUGCACCUUGCCAGUGGCUACAACCCACUGAAGAAAAUGCCUCCCUUUCCAAUCAACUAUCCUUUAUAUAAAAGUCUUCAGGGAGGGUUGGGGCCUUGUGAUGAUUAAUUACAAUUGUUUUUGUUUGUUUGUUUGUUUUGAGACACGGUUUGUCCGUGUCGUCUUGGAUGUCCUAGAAUUCGCUCUGGAGGCCAGGCUGACCUUGAACUUACAGAGAUCUGCCUGCCUCUACCUGAGUGCUGAAAUUAAAGGCGUGCUCUAGUGGAAGUUUUGGUUAUGUUACGUAAAUAUGUUUUUGUUGUAAUCCCAAGUGUGGGAUGCAGGAAUCCUUUACCCAUAAUCUGGAAAGUGUCUCAUGUGGAGGGUGGUAGGGGCGGGAACAUGGUUUUUUGCCAGCUGAAAAACAACCUUGUAUGGACUUUGAGAAAAGAUAAAUAAGAGCCCAGAGAAAGAGAGAGGUCAUUUCGCUUUAAGAACGCUCCUAGAGAGAAACGCUUCAACGAACACUUCAAGGAGGCUGCUGCUGAUCAUGCUGCCCUGGCUGUUGGCUGGUGAUGUUUGCCAUUUGCUAGGCUGUUGGAAUCCUGAUGUCAAGGAGUGGAAUUGCCUCAAGGAAAUAAGUCUAAAAAGGUCUAUAUACCUAGGGUCCUGGGAUUUGAAGGAAGAUAGAGGUAUUUGUGAA